GUUUCACUAGCAAAUUCAAGUAUAUCUGCUGCUGUUCCUACAAACAUGAGAAGCAGCUGGGACAACUGGUCCCGUGUGAUUUCAACCCCAAUGGGGAGAAGCCAUCUCCCAACUACUAGAAGUAGUAGAAAGGUCUGGUGGAGGGCCAGGGUCCAUACAGUCUCACAGAUUGUGGAGAGCUGAUUCACCAAGACUUUAGCCGUCCGAAUGAUGUGGUGAUCUAUUCUCUCGCUUCCAUCACUGCUGUCUGGAGACUGACUGAUGUCUUGAUCGGUGACAUUUAACUGAACAGCUUCAAGCUCAUUACUGCAAUACUGUGUCCCAUGGUGAAUUUCCAGUAGCCAUAAUGAUGGUACUAUGCAAAUCAGAUACAAAAAGAUUGCUGGGGAAAACCAUUUGUAGCCUCUGCCUUGCUUAAACUUGAGCGUCAGCCCUGUCUCCAGGCAAAGGAGAAGAUUGAGCAGUGCCAGCAGCCAGUACUUGGGUUCUUUCUUCACUUCAGUCACUCUCCAUACCCCGAUGAGGGAGUGCAGCACGAACAGCAGGCGAGUAACAAGAGCGUUGAGCAGAACCAUCAGCUCCAUCUCGGCCCAGUCCCUCUCCACUCUCCCCACACGCAGGCCCAGUGCCUGUUAGUAGCCCAGAGAAGCUGCUCUGGGAAUCACAGCAAAGCCCGCACAACGCAGGCACGCAGCUCUUUCCUCUCGCAUCUCCACAAAG
rnacentral:lncRNA from 1 species